rnacentral:rRNA from 1 species
CCUACGGGUGACUGCAGUAGGGAAUCUUCCACAAUGGACGAAAGCCUGAUGGAGCAACGCCGCGUGAGUGAAGAAGGGUUUCGGCUCGUAAAGCUCUGUUGGUAGUGAAGAAAGAUAGAGGUAGUAACUGGCCUUUAUUUGACGGUAAUUAAUUAGAAAGUCACGGCUAACUACGUGCCAGCAGCCGCGGUAAUACGUAGGUGGCAAGCGUUGUCCGGAUUUACUGGGCGUAAAGCGAGUGCAGGCGGUUCAAUAAGUCUGAUGUGAAAGCCUGGGGCUCAACCGUCGAAGUGCAUCAGAAACUGUUGAACUUGAGGGCAGAAGAGGAGAGUGGAACUCCAUGGGUAGCGGGGGAAUGCGUAGAUAUAUGGAAGAACACCAGGGGCGAAGGCGGCUCUCUGGUCUGCAACUGACGCGGAGGCUCGAAAGCAUGGGUAGCGAACAGGAUUAGAUACCCUAGUAGUC